rnacentral:lncRNA from 1 species
UGUUUAAAAGUGAAAUGCAAAACAUGCACCUAACUUCUAAUUUCCUUACAAAUCAAUGUGCCAAUGUCUAGGAAAAAAGAAGUAAAAAGGCAAUGCAUGAUGCUUAGAAUUUGACACUUGUACUCAAACCUUGAAAAAGAUUUGGCAUUAUUAAGGUUUUGGAACCUUGUCCUAGCAGAAGCAUGACAUCUACUUGCACACAUCCAAAGCACACAUCCAAAGCCAAACAGUUCACUGUGGAUGCUCUGUCUCCAAGUCCUACUUUCAACAAUACUUAUUCCAACUAAUAAUAGAAAAUUCAGUUGACUUCUAUUUAAUAAUUUAUUAUCAGAAAAACAAAGUCUAACCUAUUAUCAUCAACCAUUCACACUUUAUUUUUUAAGCAAAGAAAUGAACACUAUUGCUCUCUCUCGCAUACCCCUGAUCCCAACAAAACAAAGACAUACAGACCUACCAAUGCAUUAGACAAGAAUCACAUAAUUGCUUGUCAAUUGCCAGGUGAACAGCUCACCUUGGGAGCAACAUUAUUGUACCUUCAACAAAUCCUACUUGUAUAUUUUCAUCUGGAAUGGCACACUUUGACAGAUAGGCAGCUACUGACUACAGCCAGGAAUGCACAGAAUCAACCAGACUGAUGGACCUGAUUUUUUUUAUCACAAUGGUUAUUAUAGAAACACAUAAUCCUUAGAAAAGAAAAGAAAAUAGAGAAGAAGAUAAAGUUGACAGAAGCACACAACAAAAACGAUGACGACAGCAAGGUGCAGGAUUACCAAAGUUUGGAGCUGACAGCCAAAACGUAGCAGUAGAAGAAACAGAAGCAAGUUUUCUAGAGGAAGGGAUAAUUUAGUGGAUCACGACCUCCAAGGUCAGUAACACCAAAGAAGCAGACAGCCAAGCCUGAGUGAUACAGAAGCCUUAUAGAUCUGCAGCAGCAGAAACAGUAGCAACAGUAUCUUUUUCUCUGCCACGAUGCCAGUGAAUGGUGUGGUGCGGAGACCAGGAUGAGCCAGGGUGGAGGCUU